CCAACGGCCCUCUUUAGGGCCACAACUCAAAUGAAAAACGAAUCAA
rfam:Nippostrongylus brasiliensis genome assembly, scaffold: NBR_contig0000680